rnacentral:lncRNA from 1 species
GCCUCUCAGUUCUUUGACCCGCUCAUCAAUAGAGCUCAACGCGUAGUGCAAAUCUCCGAAUAGCGUGAACACUUCCUCGUAGUCUGCUUCCUUAUCCUCAGGGACGUAAGCGGAUUCUUCAAGGUCGGAAAGAACCCAGACGAGAACCUUUCUUCUGGAGUUCCCUUUAAAGAUCUUUUUUGCGACUUCUUUGGUGUGACGGUGAAGCUUCACGGCAUCUUUAGCAACGCUUAUCUGGAAGACGAUGAGCACCUGCUGGUCGGCAUAAUACACAUCGGCUCCAAUGUGAUUGUAGUUCUGGUUCACGAAGAGCGUCGGACUUCUACUCACCUUUUUCAAGCUGACCAUGGAUCGCGUCAUCUUGUCAACGGGCACAACGUGGAGAUGGUGACUCAGUGUCACAUUGGCCCCUGUUAUGUCGACGUUGAGAAGCUUCAGGGCAAGUAUUGUGGCUUCCUCAGCAUUCCACCCAAUGGUGCACAUGUUCCUGCUUUCUGAGAUACCCUGCGUGAAGUAGCGAACUUCUGCUUCCAUGUCGCGGUCCUGCUUCCUGCGUAGCUCUUGAGCUAGCCAAACAUGAGCAAGCGUCUGCAAAUGCUGCGUCAGACAGUGACCUUUGCCGUCAGCACCGCGAUAGUAACACCUGGAGUCCAUGGCCUCGGAUAGAACAGAGAUGCGUCUCCCUGCAAUAGCCUUAAGGAGCUCGUUCCGAGUCCGUCGUCCAUCACUGUUGUUGACCGGCUUCCAGAUGACUUCAAGCAGCGACUUCUCAAGUCCCUUUACAUUCUCGCCCAACAGGUACUUGCUUGAAAGGCGCCCCUUCUUUAAACGGAUCCAGUAAUCAACCAGCCGAGGCACUGUGCCAGUCAAUCUGUAGUCCAGCUCUUCAAAACUCAUGCCAUGACGUUUCAAGUAAACUCUGAGAUCCGUGAACUGUCGAAAAACAAAAUUGAGCUCAGCGUAAGUAAAGAAUGACACUUACGUUAAAUCCCCCCACGCAAGUGCGGAAUUCUACUUCAUGAGUUUUAAAAAUCUCUUUCCUCAAGGAGCUCCUCACAGAGGCACAGAUGACUGUGGUGCACUCGAGAGGGAUUUCAUCGAUAAAGCCGCGUGCAGCCAUCUUCCGAUUGCUUACAGACGGUGAAUCGUCCUUGCUCACAUCCAUCGCAUUUCCAUCGUCAAUGAAAAUGAACAUUUUCUCCCCCCGUGUACGUAGGAAAUCAAGCAUUUCUUGGGCGUCCUCGUUCGCAGCUAUCAGUCGCUUGUGAACAGCCGGCUCGUGGAUAUAGGCCAAAACCAAGGCUCUGUAUACUGCUCGCACCGGAUCCUUCACGAAAUAGUUUCCAGCCAGAAGUAAGAACCGGCAUGUCGCAAGAUCUGGCAUCUUCGUUUCCCUCUUAGCAAGCUGGUUCGCUUCACCCUUGCUGGUAAUCUCUGGUUGCUUGCUGGUAAUGUUUGGUGGUAUCUCCUGUUCACCCGGUGCCCCCAUGUCUAGCGGAAUCACGCGAACGUCCAACAAGUUGCUGAUUGAUAAGGCAAAAUUCGCGUUAGACAAUGCAUGUAGAGCUGCAAAACAAGAGGCCUUACCUUGGGACAUUGACGGUAACCUCUGGCUUGAUCUCUUCACUCUGUGGUAACCCUUGCGUUUCCUUGAGCUGUUUGGCCUUGAUUGCCAAGUGCGACUUGACAAGCAGAAAGCCCACUCCAGCACAAAUGCUGACACUUUUGCCAAACCCGGGUGUCCCUGUGAUGUACUUAGGUUUCGCAAAGGGCAGCCGCAGCCUGGGACGAUCAUCCCUGUCGCUAAGAAAUACGAAAUCUAUGAGAUCCUUCGUCACCUUUCGACCCAUGUAAUCAAACUCUCCCAGAUUUCCACUCAUGUCCGGAGCCAACAGCCGGCACCACGUUUCGUUGCUCGUUAAGCUCUCCAUUGUCAGAUGCCCAAAACAUUCCUCCAAUCUCACGGAGAAUGCCCAAGCUUCCUCGAACUCAUCCAUGACCUUACUUCUUUUCUCUGUAACCACAGAUGGGAACUGUGCGAAACGCUUACCGCUUCCGCUGAGCUCCGCCAUAGCUUUAGGUUUAGAAAACAUGAGCCCUAAAUUAUCUUUUUCACAGGUUUGGGUUCGAGUCUUCGUGAAGACAAUGCCUUUGUGUACUCUAGUAACCCUGUCACAUUGCCACUUUAAUAAUCCGACCCAGAUUUACCUAUGUCAGUUGAGUAAUAUACAAUGGCAAUACAUCUUUCGGAUCUAAUCCGAAGGACCAUUAAAGGACAUGAUGGUUGCAGUGUUGGUGGAUUUUGAAUCAGCAGCCUCCAGUAUCAGAUGCUUGGUGGUUUCUCGAUGUGAGUUGCCAUUGUCUCCUGCAGCCCGAGUUUUUCGUGUAUUCUAAAUGUCAUCCAAAAUUGCAUCCAUAUGCAAUCUUGUUUGUCUGGUGGUUCAUCCUCACUACUAGAUUCUAUACCAAUGUCUUCCAUCCCAGGAUCAGUGAUGCUCCGAUUAUUGUGAAAGCAAUCAUAACCUAAAUCUCUCUUCUCUAUGAGCAGUUGUGACCCUAGAUGACCUACCACUUAACAUAUCAUAUGAGGACCACAAAUCCUCAAAAAUACCCACGCAACUUGACAGCAAGAGGCAAGUACAGGAGGAGGCGAGCAAGAAAACUGUUACAUAGGCUUUACAGGAAAAGGAUUGAACAUUGUUGGAGAGUUUGAUUUAAUAUCCAUAAAUAAAGCUAAACAAGUCAGGGACGGAUCACUUUAAUAACAGUAUACAGAAAUCAUUUUAAUUGCAGAAUGUACAGGAAAAUGACAGCUCAAAAUAUUAUUAUUCAUAUCCAUUACAAAAGUUUUCUCAUUUGCAAAAAAUCUUUACAAUUUACUAGAUAUUCUGUUAUAUCAAAUUUAAUGAUCGAUUCAAUUUAAUAAAUUAAUUAGUGUUCAAUGAUAUAAAUCAAGUACCAAUAAUAUACAUAAAGAAUGUCAGCCUAUUAAGAAAAUGUUACUAGGGUAUACAAUCCCAUUACCUCAUAUAAAAUGGUAAAUUGGUAGAAGUGAUUAUAUACUUAAGAUAAAAGUUUUAAGUAUUGAAAUGAAUUAUAAUUCUUAUUCAUUUUAUUUGUAAAAUCUUUAUUUUUUAGCUAAGUUAAAAGUAAAAAAUUGUUACUCAACUUAAAGAUAUUCCCAAUCAUUAUUAUAUCAACUUUAAGCACAUUUUGUUAUUUGAUAAAACUAAAUAUCAAACUUAUUUUAUUUGUAAUAUAGAUAGUUUUACAAAAACUUUUAAAUAAUUAAACUUACCAUUUAUGAUGCUUAUGUAACCAAGAAGAAAUAUCUAAUUCAAAAGUAUGAAUAAAUAUUUGAAUUUUUUGUUCUAAAGUUUAUAAGUUUAAUGAAAGUUUUAUUUUCUUAACUUGUUCAUUAUUUAUAUAAAAAUGAGAAAGAGACAUACAAAACAAAACAGUAAAAAAAUAAAUUAAAGAUCCAGUUAUUCAAAAAUACUAUACCAAAAAGUUCUUGAGUGUCACUAAUCAUGGUGAUAGUGUUAUUUUAAAAAAAAAAUAUUGUUAAAAUAUUUUACUGUCAUAUUGGUAAAUAAUCAGAAUAUUUCUUGAUUAUAAAAACAUAUAAAGUGCUAAAAGAUGAUGUUUGUUAUUCUUAGCUUCAUUAUAUUUUACCACUACUUAUUAAGGAGGUUUUUUCUGUGUUUUGACUAAUUCUAAAAUGUUGAAAUAAAUCUUAUAGUGAUAGAAAUUCAUUUAUUAGUUAAAAAUUACAAAAAUAUGAUGAAAAUUACUACUAGUUUAAUAUUUUUUUAAUAAAAAAAUAUUAUUAGAUCAACAUAGCAUUCUCCAAUAAGAAAAUAAAACAAUUUCAUCAUAAAUCUUAAAAGAUAUAUCUCAAGCAUUAAUCUCACUAUAGUCUCAACUCUUAAUUACCUUAAUUAGAUAAGUGAGAGUAAAUUAACAAACAUUAAAAUUACUAUAUUAAUACCAUUUAACUUAUUUGGAAAUAAUGUAGUACACGUGAUUAGUGUAAUUAUUAUAGUAAAUAGAGAUUUAUAUAUAUAAAAAACAAGUUUUGAUUAUUUUUGGUUUUGUUUUAUUUUAAAUGUUAAUGCAGGAUUUCGACCAUCUUGGAAUUUCCUCUGGUCAAAUAAGGAUAAAUCCAACUUCUGCUAUGUUAGCAUCUCCUGAUACCACUGUUAUUUCGAUUGUUGUUUCACAGGGUGCUGCAGUUACUCCUACGCUCACUCCUCAACCAGUUUCUGGAGCUGGAGCUGCUGGGACGUCCACUCAUGCUCAAGCCACUCCAGACUCCAACGAUGAUCUGGCUGUUCUUCUGAACACCGAUAGCUCUUCGGUGAUUCCUACUUCGGAAGGCACUUCUGAUCUCGCUGAUGCUAUCACGAGCUGCUAUGACAGCUCCAAGAAAUCAUUCUUGGAGAGUCUUAACAGCCAGGCAUCAGAGAUCAAAGCCAUUUCGAAGUUGGAGGAAGUUCUGAGGGAUAUCCGCAGAAUUGGAGAGUGAAGCAGCCUAAGCUCAAGACCAAGGAUCCCGAUGUACAAAAGGAACUCAAUGAGCUAGCUGGCUUUAAGCACACGGAGUACCAACUCACGCUCCUCAGUCUGCUGCUUGACGCUCGGAAAAAGGAACUUGUGAUUUCUUCCGGGCAGGUCAAGAAUGCUUGCAGGACAUUCGGCGAUCAUCUCUUGGACAUCGUUCUAACUGCCCUAUAAGACAUCUCCAACCCAAGCUCCAGAAGUCUUCUUCAGCGCGAGCUAGCGACGAUGGUUUAUGCCAAGAGAGAUCUCUUUGCAAAAGACGUCGUCUUUGCUCAAGCUAACAGAAGGCUUCAGGAACAGAAUCGGCAGAACGCUGAGGAUACUCGCCUGGCGGCACAGGACAAGGCAAAGUUGCUAAGCUGAAGAGUGCUCCUCUGAAAGACACAAAAGGAAAAGAAAAAGCCCAGUUGUGCCCUAGGAUGAUGUCAUAGAUUUGAUUUGAGAAGGUAAUUACCCGCAAUGGUGAUAGGUUCUGAGGUGCAACGGGAAGUGUACUUGAUGUACGGACAAUGCAGAUGUCGUCUUGUUAUCGCCAUAAAAUACACGAAAAAGGAGACAAUGGCAACUCACAUCGAGAAACCACCGAGCGUCUGAGUCCACCGAGAGAUUGGCCUCUGGAUCGAUACUGGAGGCUGCUGAUUCGACUGCGACCAUCAUGUCCUUUAAUGGUCCUUCGGAUUAGAUCCGAGAGAUGUAUUGCCAUUGUAUAUUACUCGACUGAGCAAGGGUAAUGCGACCAUCGCUAGAGCAGGGUCUCAUUCUCCAACUUGCUAUGAUAAGCCAAUGCGCAAGAUCUGGAUCACGGGCCUGGACGGGGAUUGCAGAACAUGGAUGUAUUCAAGAUGGCAAGAUGCCCAUGACUACACAGAAACAGAAACGAGAGCAGGAUCACGAGCAACAAAAGAUACAAGUACAGAAUCCAGCACAGGAUGGAAGACCCUAUACUGGAGGCUAGAAACUAGAGUAACUUUUUCUGGUUUGAAGUUCACGAAAUCUAGUAAUAGAUUAAUUCCCCUUUUAUCCACGGUUGGGUUAGGCUAUAACUCUAAGGUUUGGGUUCAAUUCUUCUCAAAUUUUUUUCCUAGAAGUUAUAUGGAUCAAACCUACUUUGUUUAAAUCCGUGUUUUUCAAAUAUGGUNNNNNNNNNNNNNNNNNNNNNNNNNNNNNNNNNNNNNNNNNNNNNNNNNNNNNNNNNNNNNNNNNNNNNNNNNNNNNNNNNNNNNNNNNNNNNNNNNNNNUCAAAGUUUGAGAAGAAUGUCGUGUUUGCAUUUGAAAAUCAUGUGAACUUUAAGUGAGGUUUUUAUAAAUAUCAAAUCUUUGUUGAAAAAGGACUUAAGAUGGUGGAAUCUUUGAAUUUAAUAUUCCUAGCUUUUAACCAACAUGUAAGUACUUUAUUUCCCGGACAGAGUUCUUCAAAAGCGUUAGUAAUCUCGAAUAUGUUCCUCCCUCUGCACAUCCGCUUAUCAAAAAAGCCCUCGAGCGUGUCAGAAACAGACUUGUCCAUGCAAUCGACUCCUGCCCUCCUAAAAAUACAUCGCAACAAUAAAAAAGAACAAAGAAGAAGACCAAAAAUCUAUAGGAAAAGAACAUACCUCCAUUAGGAUUUUAAAAAAGGAUCAAAUUGGCCAGGAAAUACAAACAAAGCUCCGAUGAACAAGAACCUUUAAGAACAAGAACAUGAUCCUUUUAGGUUUGCUCCUCCAUUUAUAGUCAUAGCUGAUUCAAACAAAAAUAAAGAAAUUGAACUGUAUUCUAUAAAUUUCAUUGUUCCAAGCAAUUGCAAAAGUUCAUGAAGCAAAUGUUGUGAGUGCAUGGAAUAUGGAAAGAGAAUACAGAAAUGUGCAUAUCAAUUAGCCCAAAAACCCUAGCUUAUAUACAUGAGUGAGUGGCCCGGAUUGAAACCAAUCCGAUGGCUACCAAAAUCCCACUACACUAAUAUUAGUAUACGGCAUCGUAGCCGUACACUUGGCCCUCACAUCAUCCCCUCCUCUCGGAAUAAUGGAAGGCCGUCAGGGUUCUCUUGUAGAUGGGCCGGGAUCUAGAGGAACGUCAGGAGGAGGCAUCGGUGGAUCUGUAGACGGUAUUAACUGCUCCUGAUCCCUUUGUAUGAAGCGUUUUAACCGCUGCACAUGCACAAUCUCCAGAGGAUCGGCAUGCUGAACGUCAUGCUGAACCUCAUAAACUUGUGGUCCAACUUGCCGCAACACCCGAUGCGGUCCUUUCCACUGCGCAAGGAGCUCCUUAGAUAAACCACGUACCGUAAGAUGGGGAAAACGGACUAACACUAAAUCAUCCACUUUGUACUCUGCAGGUGGACAAUGAUGGGAAUUGUAGCGCCGUUGUUAUCCCACUUGUACACGGCCUAAGUGUUCAGUAGACUCUACUCGGACAAGUGGAAGAAUGCUUGUCAAAUAUUGAUCCCAUGACCUAGCAUCAGGAGCUCGUGGCAAUCGCAAAGGUAAACCCAACUCUAUUGGUAAUAUUGGAUCAUGACCAUAUAGAAGUUUAUAUGGUGAAGCACCAAUAGAACUCUGCACCCCUGUGACAUAGGCAUACCGAAGAGACGGCAAAUAACCAUGAAUGCUGAAAGUUCACAUACUUCGCAAUCAUCCCUUUGAAUGUCCGAACGAGCCGUUCCACCAGACCGUCUGAUUAUGGAUGAUAAGCACUCGUAAAAGUGUGGCGUAUCCCCAACCGAGAUGUUAAAACAUGAAAUACCUCAGCCAUAAAUGCAGGACCAUUAUCCGAAAGAAUCCGCUCUGGACAAGAAUGCUGGAACACCACUCGAUUGAGGAGGAAGUAUCCAACAACAGUUGCAGAGGCACUAGCAAGAGCACCAACUUCCACCCAACGAGUCAAGUAGUCAGAAGCAAUAAUAACAUACUCAUUGCCAGCAGUCGAUCAUGGAAAAGGUCCCAUAAGAUCAAACGCCACCAACUCAAAUGGACGAGAAACUGCAAUUGACUCCAACCAUCCUUCCGCAGCACAAGGGGGAGUAUUACGAGUUUGGCACCAAACGCAGCUAUGCACAUACCGGAUAAUAUCACGUCGCAUCUCUGGCCAAUAGAAAGAUCUGCGCAGCUUCUCGGUGACACGACGGUGUCCCAUAUGACCACCUAGAACAGGAGAAUCAUGGUAGGCAUGGAGAAACCGCGGAAUAAACACCGAAGGCACCACCAGCCGUAAAUGACCAUCAGGAUCCGUCCCCACAAAAUAAAGAAGGCCAUCUUCAAGGCGAUAUUGAGAAUGUAAAUGCCGGAAGGGCAAGUCAUCAGCAAGUGAUGCAGGAUUCUCAAACCCAUCUCAAAGCCUUCGAAUCCACGGCUCAAUCUUUUGAGCCUCGCGAACCUCAUCAAGAGAAGGUAGAUCUUGCUCUGCGCCCUGUGGACACUGAACGUCAAGGACAGCAACUGCCGAUGGCACAGAAUCCUCAUCUAGAAAAUCCACAGAUGCUGGAACAACAGGUUCGUUAGAAACAUGAGAAGUGAGUGGAGAAGGAAGAGGAGCUCGAGAAAGGGCAUCAGCAUCAGCCAUAGAACUCCCUGGGCGAUGAACAACAUCGAAAUCAUAUAUCUGAAGCUUCAAAGCCUAUCGAGCCGUACGACCAACCAAGUUCUUCCGCUUCAAUAAUGAAGUAACAGCAGCAUGAUCACCUUCAAGUAACGUCCGAAAACCAUGUAGAUAUGCAUGAAGUUUUUCGAAACCCCAGACUGCUGCUAAACACUCCUUCUCCGUCGUGGAGUAGUUCAUCUCUGCUGGUUGUAAUGUACGGCUUAUGUAUGCAAUGGGAUGGCGCUGACCAGGCACACUUGAGCUCUCUUGCAUCAACACACCUCCAAGACCAAUGUCAGAAGCAUCCACGCGCAAAAUAAAAGGCCGAGUGUAGUCAGGAUAUGCCAAAACCAAAGGAGUCGUCAAUAGCUCUUUGACAUUCACGAACGCCCGCUCACAAUCCGGAGACCAGAUGAAAGAUGACGUGGAUGACUUCAGCAAUGCUCGCAAUGGUGUAGUGCGAUCAGAAAGAUGAUCCACAAAACGACCGAGGUACUGCACCUACCCAAAAAGCGCUGCACAUCAUUCACACACUUCGGAGUAGGGAACUUUAGAACGGCUACAAGUUUGUCAGGAUCAACUUGCAAACCCUCACGAGAAAUACGGUACCUAAGAUAAGUUGUGUCCUUGGACCCAAACACGCACUUCGACCGCUUCAGCUUUAAACCAACGUCGCGUAGCCGAUCCAACACUUUACAAACAUCACGAACGUGCUCCUCCCACGUCCCCUCCGAGUGGAUCAAGACAUCAUCAAUGAAGUCAGCCGUCACCUCCGGCAUAUCGCAAAGAACCUCGUCCAUCAUCCGCUGAAAAGUUGCUGGAGCAUUGUUCAAACCAAACGGCAUCACCAAGAACUCGUACAGACCAAAUGGUGUACGAAAAGCAGUCUUAGGAAUAUCUUCUUCGGCCAUCGGUACUUGCCAAUACCCAGAAGCAAGAUCUAGCUUGGUGAACCAACGACUUCGCCCCAAACGAUCCAAGAGAUCAGCAGUGUGAGGAAGAGGGUACACGUCCGAGAUCGUCACUUUAUUUAACGAACGAUAGUCGAUGUAGAAACGAAUACUACCAUCAGGCUUCGUCACAAGAUAAGGUUCACAUGCCCAAAGACUCCGCGACUUCCGAAUAACACCCUUCUCCAACAUCUCUUUAACGUUUGCACGUAAAAUCUUGAUCUCCUUGGGUGACCGACGACGAACAGGAACCUUGAUUGGACGAGCAUCCCCGGUUGGAAUGGGAUGACGUGUGGCAAUCUUGGCCCCAGACGAUAGGUCAAAUUCAAAGAGAUCAGAAUACUCCUUCAUGAGCCGGUCAACCGCUGCAACACAAAGAUCAUCGGAGGGAUCGGGAAAGGGAAGAGCAGAACAAGAUGGAAACACAAGAGGAAACAGUGGGGGAACAAAAGUAAUGGAAGCAGAGGUAGAAGUAGAGGGACGAAGAGGUACGGAAGUGAGAGGAAUAGAUGAAACAUAAGGAAGUAUGAGACAAGGGGGAGAAGCCUCAAAGUCACACUUGGCAUGAUUGCGCUGCAACCAAUCCAUACCAAGAAUGAGGUCAAAAGCUUGACUCGGCACCACCCGCAACGACUGCAACUCAAACUCGAGAUCGCCCACACGCACAACCAGAUCCGUCUCAUCUCGUGCACAUGCAUGUGUACGGCCGUUGCCAUAAAGAAUGAAAACUGGAUCUGCCGCACGACGCAAGUGUAGACGACAACGUGUGGCAACAGGUCGAGCAAUAGAAGAUAAACUCGAACUUGUAUAAACCAACACGGAGAGAAGAAUAGGAGACCUCUUAUUAUAAAAACAAGUUUAGAAAGUAAACACUGGAUGAACCGGUGCUGAGUGAACCCCUUGAUGAUACUCUCGAAAGAAAGAUGGAGGGGUCACUAACUUAUUCGCGCAAGGUCCCUCCAUUACUCGCGCGACUCCUCGUUUCCCGAAUGCACCUCGGUAUCCAAACCUUCCAUCGCAGCAACACCAACGGGACGUUGCUAACGCCAAGGUCUCCACCCAAGAAAUGGAGGUCGCCAAUCCGGAAAGCGCCGACAACGCCGAUAAGUAUGACCAACUUCAUCACAUGCCCAGCAAUGAACAUCACGGCCAUGACCACGUCCUCGCCCUUGUCCUUCGACUCGAGUAGCAGCAGCAUCAACUUCCAUGGGAACAAGACCAUCACUCAUAGGAAGUGGGGCUGAAGGACGUGUAGCAAGAAGUGGAAGAGGUGACGUCUCAUAACGUUGUGCCAAACGAAGAGCAUCGUCAAGAGUGGCAGGAGCAAGUGCAUGCACAAGUCCGACAAGAUCUUGACGAAGUGCUGGCCACAACAUUCCUAGCUUGAUCCGCUCCGACAUAUUUGGCUCCGCACGAAGCAAAAGACUUCGGAAACGAACGCCAAAUUGCAUCACCGACUCAGAUGGCCCUUGGCGAAGACGAUGCAAUUGUUGGAAGGCAUCAUCACAAUCAUCGGCGUGUCCGAAGGCGCGUUUGAAGACGUCCGGAAGAACACUCCAAUCGCCACGAGUGGCUGCGCUCAAUCCAUUGUACCACUGCAAUGCCGUCCCUUGGAGACAUGUGGGGAACUCACGCAAACAUCGAGCAUCAUCCCAAGAAUGAUAUGUGGCAAUCACCGUGAAGUGAUCGAACCAAUGGUACACAUCAUCCCUAGGACUCCCACGAAAGAACUCCGGCCGAACACGAGGAUUGGCACCAAGAGCAGGAGGAGUUGUACCAUGUGCCGUGAACGCCGCCAUCAACUGAGUUUGGUUGUUCAAUUGCAAGCGUAUAGCAUCAAGCAAUUGAACCAACUGCUGCUCUAGAGUCAAAGGAGGAGAUUGUGGAUCGGCCAUGAAGAUGAAUGAAAAAGAAAGAGCAAAAGAAGAGAAAUGACAAAAAGCUGGAAAGAAAUGGUAGAUCUAGACAAUGCAAAAAGCUAGAUCUAAACCAAAAUCCUAAAAGGAAAGAACAAAAGAAAGGAAAUGGAAAAAGUUAGAUUUAAACCGAAAUCCCAAAUCCAAGCACUCCCUAGGGAUAAUCAAAAGUGCCCCUCACCUCCACCAAAUACAGAAAUGUGUAUAUCAAUUAGCCCAAAAACCCUAGCUUAUAUACAGGAGCGAAUGGUCCGGAUUGAAACCAAUCCAAUGGCUACCAAAAUCCCACUACGUUAAUAUUAGUAUACGGCAUCAUAGCCAUACUUAAAUCUUGGCUUAAACUUACAUGUUCUACCAAGCACAAGCGUCUGACUGUCUGGUCGUCCUUUAAAAAGUACUAAGAUUCUAAACAAGAAAUACAUGUAUUAUUCACUUCUUGAAUUUGUAAUUCAAAAGCAUUUUAAUUUUUUUUUUUUAUUGUCUACGUCCAACCACAAGCCUCAACUCAUUGCAGAGGUUCAACAAGCAAUGCCUAAAACCUUCACCUCGGGCAUAAACGUACACCCCCAUGCAAACCUAGUUCAGCAUUCAGUGUUGGCAAAAACAGUAGCUGUUGUACCAACGAGAGCCUCCCGACAACUUUGUCAAUGCACGACAUAAGUACGGUAGUUCAACCAACAGCUAGCGACAACAAAACCGAGUUCGGCACCACUACCAUGCUGUUAUCUACGUAUUGCAGUUUUCAAAGCUGGAGGUCCAUAUACUUUCAAAUCCUUGGGGCGUGAGACUCGGGCAUGUGCUGUCAAGCUCAAGACAGAAAAACUGUAACUAUCAAACGACUUCACAAGAAAUUCAAGCGUCAUCCUCCAUCUCUGUGUCUUCAUCUAAAGUCGUCCUCAUCAUCUUCCUCGACUUCCACUGCAAAGAUAACUCAACAGUUGGUGACUAAACGAAAGAAUGAAACGAAGCUUACGUCCAUGGCCGACUUUGCAAUCAUCACAUAUCCAGACCUCCUCGUUUCUGUAGCUUGUACAUCCCACGUGGUACCAACUGUUGCAGAAGCUGCAAAGCACUUCCUCCGGAGUCUUGUCUUUGCCACAUUGUCGACAAAACAUGUCCACUUUGCCUCUCAGUUCUUUGACCCGCUCAUCAAUAGAGCUCAACGCGUAGUGCAAAUCUCCGAAUGGCGUGAACACUUCCUCGUAGUCUGCUUCCUUAUCCUCAGGGACGUAAGCGGAUUCUUCAAGGUCGGAAAGAACCCAGACGAGAACCUUUCUUCUGGAGUCCCCUUCAAAGAUCUUUUUUGCGACUUCUUUGGUGUGACGAUGAAGCUUCACGGCAUCUUUAGCAACGCUUAUCUGGAAGACGAUG